GAUCAUGGCUCAGGAUGAACGCUGGCGGCGUGCCUAACACAUGCAAGUCGAACGGAGUCGUUUUGGAAAUCUCUUCGGAGAUGGAAUUCUCGACUUAGUGGCGGACGGGUGAGUAACACGUGAGCAAUCUGCCUUUAAGAGGGGGAUAACAGUCGGAAACGGCUGCUAAUACCGCAUAAAGCAUCAAAUUCGCAUGUUUUUGAUGCCAAAGGAGCAAUCCGCUUUUAG
rnacentral:rRNA from 1 species